rnacentral:rRNA from 1 species
ACGGAAGGCAGCAGUGGGGAAUAUUGGGCAAUGGGCGAAAGCCUGACCCAGCGACGCCGCGUGAGGGAAGAAGGUCUUCGGAUUGUAAACCUCUUUCAGCAAGGAAGAAGAAAGUGACGGUACUUGCAGAAGAAGCCACGGCUAACUACGUGCCAGCAGCCGCGGUAAUACGUAGGUGGCGAGCGUUAUCCGGAAUUACUGGGUGUAAAGGGUGUGUAGGCGGGAAAGCGAGUCAGAUGUGAAAAUUAUGGGCUCAACUCAUAACCUGCAUUUGAAACUGUUUUUCUUGAGAGUGGGAGAGGUAAACGGAAUUCCUGGUGUAGUAGUGAAAUGCGUAGAUAUCAGGAGGAACACCGGUGGCGAAGGCGGUUUACUGGACCACAACUGACGCUGAGACACGAAAGCGUGGGGAGCAAACAGGAUUAGAUACCCUGGUA